rnacentral:rRNA from 1 species
UACAGGGGGUGCAAACGUUGCUCGGAAUCAUUGGGCGUAAAGCGCACGUAGGCGGUUCGUUAUGUCGGAUGUGAAAGCCCUUGGCUUAACCGAGGAACUGCCCUCCAAACUGCUUGGCUUGAGUCCGGGAGAGGUGAGUGGAAUUCCCAGUGUAGCGGUGAAAUGCGUAGAUAUUGGGAGGAACACCAGUGGCGAAGGCGGCUCACUGGACCGGAACUGACGCUGAGGCGCGAAAGCGUGGGGAGCAAACGGG